rnacentral:misc_RNA from 1 species
UUUCCGUAGGUGAACCUGCGGAAGGAUCAUUACAGAGUUCAUGCCCUCACGGGUAGAUCUCCCACCCUUGAAUAUUAUACCUUCGUUGCUUUGGCAGGCCGUGGAAACACCGGAGGCUCCGGCUGAUGCGUGCCUGCCAGAGGAAACAAACUCUGUUUUUAGUGAUGUCUGAGUACUAUAUAAUAGUUAAAACUUUCAACAACGGAUCUCUUGGUUCUG